rnacentral:lncRNA from 1 species
UAUUUUUAAUCAAAAUUGGCUCUCGCUCUAUGAAUAAAAUCUCUAAUUUGUUUACACACACGCAGAGUAGAUACAGGCUGCACCCAAUUUUUCCGCCUUCUCCCAGAAGUUACACAGUCAAAAAAUCCGAAUUCCCACUUGAAUUCUUGAUAAUUUCUUUUCUUCUCUCUCCCUCUUGAGUUUCUUUCAUGUGAAGCCACUCUUUUCUUUUUCCUCAACAACUGUGUCUGUAUUUACACUUAUCUGCAACUUUUGAUGCU